AUGAAUCGCUUUUCAGCUGAGCUUCCGUUUCCUCGAAAAAUGUUCUCAAAAAUACACUGCCCAAUAGAAACCGACGAGUUUUGAACUUUGCGGGGAUGUCAGGUCGCUGGAGAGAUGUUUGCACAAAUGUUUCUGAGCACACACACGAAAAUCUUUGCAAUUGAGAUGCAAAUUGAAUUAUUGUUUGAAUUCUGGCUUUGUUUACGCCGCUUGUUCGAUAAACAUCGGGGCGAAAUGCAGUCAGUGAUAUGUUUGCUGUUGUGUUUGUCGUGUGCUUUAGCUUUUUGUAAAUAUAAACAAAGUCCGGGGACGGGGCGGGAGCGGUGAUGUCGCGGCGGCGGUUGGCGCAAAUAAAAGUUAAAAAUAAAAACUUAUAAUUGUCCGACGGCUGUUGUUAUUUUUAUUAUUGUUGCCAUUUAUUUUUGGAAAUAGACGUUGAAUUUGUUUAUAUGGAGUAAAAAUAAAUUAUUGCGCGUAGUGCGAGAGCAGCGGGCCAGCAUAAUUUCUCGCGGCGUUCGAUUUAAGAUUUCUAUCUGUUGUGAAUCGCUAGCGGAAUCGGAUCGUUGGAUCUUUGGCUCGGAAUGAAAAUAUCGAACUCGCAAACGGAUCCCAAACUGAUCUGCCGAAAUCGAAUCGAAUCGAAAUCUCAAAAUCUCGAAAUCCCGAAAACCGAAAAACUGAAGAAGCGGCGCUGCGGACGCGUACAAACGUACUGACGGAUAUGCCGUCGUUGACGUCGUAACGCCAAGUACGCACACACAGAUACGCCCGCACACAACUGCACUGGCAGGCUCUCUCGUAGUCCCACACACAAACAGGCACAGCCACCAACGAACACGUACGUAGGCUGGCGGUGAGGAUUUUCGUUUCGUGGUGAACUCACUCACACGCGCACACCUUCUAACGGUGCCUUUUGUUUUUGCCUUUUUGUGUAACAGAAUAUCGCACACACACAUCACACCAGAGAAUGAGAGAGCGGGAGAGAAAGGGAGUGCGCAGUCGCUGACUUUGAGUUCUUACUCACAACGAAAGCAAGAGUGAGCGAGAGGUGGCGGGCUGGUGGGGUGAGUGAGUAAUUCGGAUUGUGAGUGAGUGCGUGCGGGAGUCGAACGAGAAACAUAUGGUUUUUGUUUGUGCCCCAGCCAGACACACGCACACACUUGAUCAAUCAGCAACAGUUACAGUUAGUUCCCUCGCAGAGCUUGUUGUCCCGCUCUAGCACCCUCCCAUAAAUGUUAAUUAUUCCCCACUUCACCACCCCCUUAACUACACCCCUGCUAAACAUCGCUUUGGUUUCCGUUUUCCUUUGUAUCCGUAUCUCCCGCCCUUCCAGGACCUCCCUCUCCCCAUUUACCAAGUUUCUGGUUUUUUUUGUGUGUAUUUUACUUAUUUGUCCUUGCCACUGGAUCCUCUUUAUAAACACCAACCUACCAUUAGUUUUUCCCCUCGACGCAGCUUAAUAAAAACUUUGUUGACUUGCGUUUGGCACAUAAAAAGCAAAAACUGAAGCCGUGGAAAACAAUACCAAGCAUCCUGGCUGGAGAAAAGGGAAGGGAAUGACUGGUGGGAAAAGCAGACAGGCAAACAGGCAGACACACGGAAAUUGACAACUCGCAGAGCAA